AUGGUGAAUAAUGUGAGUGAUAACAUUGAUGGUGUUGUUAAUGAUUUUGUCAAUGCUGAUAAGGGUUAUAUCCAUAAGAAUAAUGAAGUUCAUAAUGAAUCUGAUCUUAUCAAUGAUGGUGUUACUAAAUAUGUUGGUAUUAGUAAAAAAAAUGAUAAGAAAUCAAAGAAAAAGGUGGAAAAAAGAAAGGUUGUGCUUAAGGCUAAAAGGAUUCAUUCUGAGAAGAUCCCUACGCCUACCAUGGCAAAGAAAACACCCAAGAAGAAGAAAUAA